rnacentral:tRNA from 1 species
GGAGGAAUGUCCGAAUUGGCAAGGGGCCGGUCUUGAAAACCGGUGAAGCCCGAGAGGGUGUCUGGGUUCGAGUCCCAGUUCCUCCGCCA